CCUCAACACCACUUCUGCGGAUGUCGGUUGCUAUGGAUGUCUUCACAUUAUGGUAAUGUUUGUUGUGUCCCUUCCCACUGCAUAACGAAGAUGUCAUGAUCACUCUCCCCUUCUUAGGUAAACACCAUUGUGAUUGUGACUGUGAUUGGGAAGCUUCUAUUUCUUCAGGUCCCUUUCGUUUUUUUCCCUUUUUUUUUCUCCCUUUAGUAGCUUGGUACCAUGGUGGAGGAAGCACAACAACUCCUCUAGUUUCAGGUCACAGAUCUUUCUCAUUGACCGAAUUUAUAACAUUUUCGUACGCUAUCAUGUACGUCUUAAUAGAAGACCAUUCCGAAACAUAGUCUUGUACGCCAUGACUUUUAUCCAAGAUGCAUGUGAUCGCAUGAGGGGCAUGGAAUCCCAGAAAUUUGCCAUCUUCUACAUGCGCAAGUUCGAUUCUCCAUAUCAACUACAAAUUUCCCAUAUGAACACUCAACUUGAUAUUGAUGUACUCCACUCUAUCGUAAUAUACAUUCACGGUAUUUAUCAGUGAACUUCUCAAUUUUCUUUUGUAUCUUGGGACAUACAGGCUUGUUAUAGUUUCUUAGCUUAUCUCGCUUCACUUGAAUUUGAUGCAUCAAUUUAUUCUGAAUCCCAAUCAGCAUUGUUAGUAUGGAAUUCUCUCUUUCUUCCAAAAUGAAUUUGUUAAAGCACUCAUAGAGGUUAUUUAGAAGCAUGUCACAGUUCGACUGAAACGAGAAGUGAGAUCUACUCCACUCGUUCGGUGAUUUACUCAUCAACCAUCCAUGUACCCCCUCGCUAGAACCUUCAAUCUUCGCCAUCCAAUACUUGAAUGAUCCUAAGUGACUCGACUUUGCAGCACUCCACAAAAAAUCAUUCAACUGCUUACCCUUGAAGCCUGCAGCAAAGAAAUUAUGAUACAUAUGCCUAACACAAAACAUGUGUUCUGCUUCUGGAAACAAAUCCGCCACAACAUUGACUAGCCCUUUCUGUCAACCACUCAUGAUUGUCACAGAAAUCCAAUUCUCCAUUACUAGAACCUUAGACAACAACAUCAAAAACCAUCGCCACGAACUAGGGUUCUCUUUUUCAACGACUACAUAAGCAACUGGAUAUAUACAAUUGUUGGCGUCUACACCAACUGUUGCUAGAAGUUGUCCACUAUAUUUACCUUUUAGAAAACAUCUGUCAACACAAAUAAAAUGCCUACACCUCUGAAGAAAACCAUUCUUCAAUGCCUCUAUGCAAACAUAAAUACCUUUGAGCACAUUUUCCACAUGAGAAAUGAUCAUAGUAGAACCAGAAUUUGUUCUCCUCAAUUCUUCAACAUAAAAAUCCAAUAAUGCAAAUUAUUCGGUGUCAUUCCCUUCUACUAAAACUUUUGCGUAUUUUCUAGCAUUCCAUGCAACUGUCUUUGUAAUAUGAACUCCGAAAUCGUUUCUAACUCUGCAUCUGAAAUGUUUCGUCUUCCAUUGAGGAUUGACUCUAAAAUCCUCCAAGUAAUAAUUAGCAAGCCACUUAUAUGUUACAUACUUAUUUGUACGUACCUUCAAGCAAGUAUGUUUAGGAUAAUAAGUUUUAAUUUGGAUUGUGUCCUGACCUUGUACCUUAGAUGGCCACAAAUUCCAAGGAUAACCAUCCUUACAAACACAAUGCACUCCAUCCUUAUCAUUUCACUUGAAAAUCGGUUCAAUCCCAUUGAAGAUGGUGUGAUUUCUAACAGUAGAUUUCAAUUCCUCAAAAGACCCAAACAAUAACCCUAGUUCAAAUUCAGGAUUUCUCUUUUUAGAUUGAGGAAAAUAUUCAGGGAAAUGAAGUGUACCAAUUUUCUCAUCCGACUCCGAACNGGAGUUCG
rnacentral:lncRNA from 1 species